rnacentral:lncRNA from 1 species
GUUCCGGCGGGUGUAGUACCCGGAAUAUCCCGACGCCGAAGACAACGGGCGGCUACGCCGCAUAAAUUGCCGGUCGUAAUCGGCGCGCUUUUGGGGAUCUGAUAGCGUGGAGUAGGCAGCGUGAAUUUUCAUGAACUCGUCGGCCGACGUGUCCUUGCGCUCGAUCGCCGCCACGUCCGGGUGGCAAACCCGAGCCAAUUUUCGGUACGCCGAUUUGAUCUCCUGACACGUGGCGACGGCUGGUAUGCCGAGGAUUUCGUACAGCGAGGUCAUGGUUCGAGGGCGGAGAUACGAUGGCGUCUCGGCCUCAGCAGAAGCGUAAGUGGAGCCGGCGGCGAAGGCGCGAAUCGGCUGAAAUCGUACACGUGUCGACGUUUUAGGACAGGAUGUGGCGGAGAGAAUCGGAGCGGUGAGGAAUGUGGUGGAGGAUGAAGCAGAAAGCAUGAUACGGGGCGUUUUGGUACGCGGUUAUGGAAAU